GAGAGUGGGUAGUCCGCACGAGCGCACCUCACUUUUAGUUGCCAUCAUUAAGUUGGGCACUCUGAAAGAACUGCCAGUGAUAAGCUGGAGGAAGGUGGGGAUGACGUCAAGUCCUCAUGGCCCUUACGUGUUGGGCUACACACGUGCUACAAUGGCAUCUACAACAGGAAGCAAAACGGCAACGUUAAGCAAAUCCCGAAAAGAUGCCUCAGUUCGGAUUGCACUCUGCAACUCGAGUGCAUGAAGCUGGAAUUACUAGUAAUCGUGGAUCAGCGUGCCACGGUGAAUGCGUUCCCGGGUCUUGUACACACCGCCCGUCACACCAUGGGAGUUGGUUCUACCUUAAGGCAAGGUUUCAAACCCUUGACCACGGUAUAGUCAGCGACUGGGGUGAAGUCGUAACAAGGUAGCCGUAGGGGAACCUGCGGCUGGAUUACCUCCUUUCU
rnacentral:rRNA from 1 species